rnacentral:rRNA from 1 species
CACGUAGGGCGCAAGCGUUGUCCGGAAUUAUUGGGCGUAAAGAGCUCGUAGGCGGACUGUCACGUCUGCUGUGAAAAGCUAGGGCUUAACCCUGGCCUUGCAGUGGAUACGGGCAGACUAGAGGUAGGUAGGGGAGAAUGGAAUUCCCGGUGUAGCGGUGAAAUGCGCAGAUAUCGGGAGGAACACCGGUGGCGAAGGCGGGUCUCUGGGCAGUAACUGACGCUGAGGAGCGAAAGCGUGGGGAGCGAACAGG